GACGAACGCUGGCGGCGUGCUUAAUACAUGCCAGUCGAACGGAAAGGCCCUGCUUUUGUGGGGUGCUCGAGUGGCGAACGGGUGAGUAACACGUGAGUAACCUGCCCUUGACUUUGGGAUAACUUCAGGAAACUGGGGCUAAUACCGGAUAGGAGCUCCUGCUGCAUGGUGGGGGUUGGAAAGUUUCGGCGGUUGGGGAUGGACUCGCGGCUUAUCAGCUUGUUGGUGGGGUAGUGGCUUACCAAGGCUUUGACGGGUAGCCGGCCUGGGAGGGUGACCGGCCACAUUGGGACUGAGAUACGGCCCAGACUCCUACGGGAGGCAGCAGUGGGGAAUAUUGCACAAUGGGCGGAAGCCUGAUGCAGCAACGCCGCGUGCGGGAUGACGGCCUUCGGGUUGUAAACCGCUUUCGCCUGUGACGAAGCGUGAGUGACGGUAAUGGGUAAAGAAGCACCGGCUAACUACGUG
rnacentral:rRNA from 1 species